CGCUCAUUACCUCACGGAGUGGGGGCGAGGACCUUGAGGGAUGCAAAUCCGGACAGCGCACCUCCAAGAAGGACCCCUCAGGCAAAGACAAACGGAAGCAUGCAGGAUCCAAUGCGAUAGUCAAUUAGAGGAGGUUCUGCCUGAUUCUGUAGGACCUGACAUCAAAGGCUUCGAUAUCACAUGCAUGCUGCUGGAUGAGUGGGUGGACGGACUCGUUCAGACGGAGGCAUUUUGUCAAAAUGUCACAAGGCAGAGCAGGGGAACGUGAGCGUGAACGAAAGCGAAGUGGCAGCGGCACAAGGCUGAAAAGGAGGGAGCGAGUGGCGCUGCGUAAGCCUUCAUGUCUACAGAUUUGUUUUUAUGUUCAAUAGCAGAAUUGAAUAUCAAAACCUGUUACUUGCUAAGGAUUGCCUCACUUGUAGGUCGCUUUGGGUAAAUGUAUCUGGAGGGAGGUGUGUGGCUCAGUGUCUUAGCAUGCUGUGCCUUUGAUUUGAAGGUCAAAUCCCAAGCCCAGCA